rnacentral:piRNA from 1 species
UGGCCUGUUCUAUAGCCAUGUAACCCCAGCC